CAGUCUUCUUCAGUGUCAGUUACUCGUAUCCACUGGAUACCAGUGGAUACGAGUAACUGACACUGAAGAAGACUGC
rnacentral:pre_miRNA from 1 species